rnacentral:rRNA from 1 species
AACGAACGCUGGCGGCAUGCCUAACACAUGCAAGUCGAACGAUGCCUUCGGGCAUAGUGGCGCACGGGUGCGUAACGCGUGGGGAUCUGCCUUUCGGUUCGGAAUAACUCAGGGAAACUUGAGCUAAUACCGGAUAACGUCGCAAGACCAAAGAUUUAUCACCGAAAGAUGAGCCCGCGUAGGAUUAGCUAGUUGGUGAGGUAAAGGCUCACCAAGGCGACGAUCCUUAGCUGGUCUGAGAGGAUGAUCAGCCACACUGGGACUGAGACACGGCCCAGACUCCUACGGGAGGCAGCAGUGGGGAAUAUUGGACAAUGGGCGAAAGCCUGAUCCAGCAAUGCCGCGUGAGUGAUGAAGGCCUUAGGGUUGUAAAGCUCUUUUACCCGGGAAGAUAAUGACGGUACCGGGAGAAUAAGCCCCGGCUAACUCCGUG